GCACCGCUGAUGAGUCCCAAACAGGAUGAAACAGCUGUGUCGGUGC
rnacentral:hammerhead_ribozyme from 1 species